rnacentral:rRNA from 1 species
AACGAACGCUGGCGGCAGGCUUAACACAUGCAAGUCGAACGCAUCCUUCGGGGUGAGUGGCAGACGGAUGAGUAACGCGUGGGAACGUGCCCUUCAGUUCGGGAUAACCCAGGGAAACUUGGGCUAAUACCGGAUACGUGCGAGAGCAGAAAGAUUUAUCGCUGAAGGAUCGGCCCGCGUCUGAUUAGCUAGUUGGUGGGGUAAUGGCCCACCAAGGCGACGAUCAGUAGCUGGUCUGAGAGGAUGAUCAGCCACAUUGGGACUGAGACACGGCCCAAACUCCUACGGGAGGCAGCAGUGGGGAAUAUUGGACAAUGGGCGCAAGCCUGAUCCAGCCAUGCCGCGUGAGUGAUGAAGACCUUAGGGUUGUAAAGCUCUUUCGUCCGGGACGAUAAUGACGGUACCGGAAGAAGAAGCCCCGGCUAACUUCGUGCCAGCAGCCGCGGUAA